rnacentral:rRNA from 1 species
GAUGAACGCUGGCGGCGUGCCUAAUACAUGCAAGUCGAGCGACUCGGGGACGGGGGCGUGACACGUGGAUAACGUCCUAUAAGGCUGGGGGGACUUCGGGAAACGGGAGCUAAACAGGAUACCUAUAGAUGGAUCCGCGCUGCAUUAGCUAGUUGGUAAGGUAACGGCUUACCAAGGCAACGAUGCAUAGCCGGCCUGAGAGGAUGAUCGGCCACACUGGAACUGAGACACGGUCCAGACUCCUACGGGAGGCAGCAGUAGGGAAUCUUCCGCAAUGGGCGAAAGCCUGACGCAGCCACGCCGCGUGUGUGAAGAAGGUCUUCGGAUCGUAAAGCUCUGUUAUUAGGGAAGCGGUACCUAAUCAGAAAGCAACGGCUAACUACGUGCCAGCAGCCGCGGUAAUUC